rnacentral:lncRNA from 1 species
CUUUCAUUUCUUUUUUUUUUCCUCUCCAAUACAUGUGAAAUGAUUGUGGCUUAGAAUGAUACUGUUUUGGUAACCUUAGGGCUAUACUUAAUGUCUGAGUUUAGGGCUUAACCAAACAUAGCUUACCUGGAAACUGUUCUUUAUUUAUCAGCAUUCAGAAUAGAAGCUGAGUCACAGCAGUGACACUGACACAUCUGGUUUCUGUCUCAUACUUCCUUAUUUCCUGGCUGUUGGUGAUCUUCACUUUUGCUUGUUGGGAACUUGAAAUACACCGUCUCAAUAACCAUUCACCCUGCUUACGAAUGAUGCCCUCAGACAGGGCCUUCACUGCUUCUCCUCCCAGACAGCAAUGGCUUUGUUUUAAUGACUGUUUUUCAACAUUGAACUAUAUAGCAUUUACUCAAUUAACUGUCAGCAAAAUAAUGUCACCUGCUUAAUUUCAAACACUGGUGAGGGUGGGGAGUACCACCAUCUUAGAGGUGAAGCUGGAAAAACGUGGUGAGAUGGAUUCAUACUGUACAAGAUGUGAGGAAUAUCCUUUUUAUCACAAGAAAGACUAUGAGAAUCCACCAAUGGAGGAGUGGCUAUUCACAAAGGGUCAGGAAAGAUUGGUGACUGAGUGAAUCUGAUAUAUUGAGUGUAAAGCUGUGUGAGUUGGAAUGUCUCAUUACCUCAGGGCACGGCAAAUGAGGAGGGGAGCCAAGAGCAAAGCCCCAAAGGUUGGAUCCCCUCUGUGAGCUUGCCUACCUUUGUGGAACAAAGCACAACACACAGAGCAUGCAUAAUGGUAAGUUAAUAAUACUGACCGCUCUUCCAGAGGACCAGGGUUCAAUUCCCAGCAUUCACAUGGCAGCUCACAACUGUCUGUGACUCCAGUUCCAGGGGAUCCAAUACCCUCACACAGACAUAUAUGAAAGCAAAAACACCAAUGCACAUAAAAAUAUUUUAAAAAAAGAAGCCAUGGAGCCUUCUAACUGCCUACUCCAAAAUCAACCACUGCUUUCCACAAAUGAGAAGAUGGAGCCUGGGGGAGAUGGAGUAACAAAAAACAGUGCCAAAAAUAUAGCCAAAAGGCAUUUCAAAUCCUGGUCUCAUGGCUGUAAUAUAGAUGUUUCUCAGUCCCUUACGGUAGACAAGUUCCUUAAAAGUGAGCUGUGCACGAGUCUGGGGCAUGAAACCACAGAGCCUACAGAUGAGGUUGCAAACUGUAGCUCAAAGCCAUAAGAGGAAGAGCCAAGGAGAAGAGGAACCACAUUGCAGGAGGACCUCGCUGGCAUUUCAUGUGGUGGAACAUGCAAGCUGGAUAGUGAUUUCUUUUCAACAUUCAUACCAACUUUGGAAAAGAAGAAUCACAAAUAACAAAGCCUGAGCUUCCCUGACCCAAACACAAAGGAUAUAGAGAGCAGGGCUUUAUCAGCCCAUCUGGGGAGCAGAGGACAUUAAAAUCCCAUCAUUCAUCCUAGAAGUAGGGAAUCUCACCAAAAAUGUGAAAAACCAACCACCUUCUUAUCAGACCUCUUCAACUGAGAUGAUCCCCAAAGGCGGUAGCCAGCUUGCCCUUUACUUCUACUGCAGAAACUCCUGCAGCGUUGUUGACUCCAUCUGAGAGCAUCAAAUCUCAAGAAGGACUGAGCAAGUUCAAGGUGGUGGGUGAGAACUUGCUUUCACUGGAGAGUCACAGCUGACUAAGAGUCACAGCUGGAUGCAGACGGAGAAUGAGAUUCUGGAAGCACAAAGAAUGAAUUCUCACUCCACUCUGGAUAUCUGCCUGGGACCAUGGUUCUUCAGCCAGUGGAAGAAUGCUCAUGAUCAAGACUCCUUCUGUGUAUUCCAGGUCCCUGCUGAACUUCAUAGUCUGGAAGUCUUGGCUGCUCAAAUUUUCUCACAGCCUGUCUUCCUGCAAAACACUCACAGAAAGAACAUAUGGGGCUGGUCUCAAUAUGGAUGCAGCUAAGACAUCAACCAUAGUGGAUCCAGAAUCAUCCCAUCUUUUUGUCCAUGGAUGCCUUGUUAUCAGGUCCAACCUCUUCAUUCUCCAACCCUAUUCCACUGCCAUCUUGUUGAGUGAUCAUGGGCAAAGGUUUAACCUCUCUUGGUUUCGAUGUAGUCACAUGUAAACUAUGUGCUAGAUAGUUUCUGUGUUCCCUCCUGUUCCAGGACUUGGCCCUUUGGAAACAAAGUGCUUUAUCAUUCAGUACACAAGAAGGCACUAACUAGUGCUGUGUCAAGCACUGGCUGCAAGAAACAACAAUUUUUGUUUAUUAAUUGUUAUUUUCUUACUCUUUCUAACAAGCAAUGGUCCUCUCUGACCAUCAGGCUUCUUAGAACCCUUCAGCAGCUUCCCCAUCGUACUUUGUAGAAACAUCAAGACAAAGUGGCAUCCUAUCCUGUGACAUUACCUCACACUUAGUUAAUACACUCCAGAUGCACCAGCUUUCUUUCUGUCUCUCUCUUUCUGGAAUAGGCUGAGCCAUAUCAACUAAAGACUUUUUGCAAGAACUUUUUGUCCUACCAGGAAUGUUCAUCCCCAAGGCAACCUAUGAUUGUCCCUUUCUCAUCAUAUAUGUCCUCAGGGUACCUUGUGAGUUAGUCUCCCCACUUUCAUUUACCUUGUUUUAUUAUGGCUAGUGGAUGAAACCUAUUGUCUAUAGAUUCUUUUGUGCUGCAAGAGCUGGCUGAAUAUUAUGUAUGAGGCAUAGACACAGAGACUGUACCAUCUGCUAGUUGAAAACAUUCAUCAUCUGGUUUAUGUAGGGAAAGAUUUCUAAUCCCUGUAUCCUAUAGUGUCAUUUAUUCACAGUGCAUAUAGUAUUUUAACUGUUAAACCAAACUUCUUCCUAUUUUGUUUGCUUUUAACUUUUUUCCCUAACAAGAAUGUAAAUGCCUUCAAGUUAAGGGACUCAUCUGUCUUGAUCUAGGUGGUUUUAUUAGCCUGACACAAAGCCAAUAAAUAAUGGUAGAACAGAUGGACCAGGUCUAUUUCCUUUUGCUCAACAGAAGCAACAAAAAGUUUAAUAUUCAUCAUAAAAUAAAACUCUCCACCUCCUGGCCUUUACAACAGUCCCAUGAUCCACUGCCAAGCUCUUCUCUACCCCUGCCUCUAAUUCUCAUUAUGUUAAUUUUUUUUUUUUUUUGCUUUGUGCUGACACUCCUAACUGCCAGUAACUUCUUUCCUCUCUCUCUGACAACUCUCUGGCCCAGUUCUUGGCCCUCAGUGAAACUUGCAGCCCUCCAGGCAGAAAUUGAUUGCUAGGAUGCCAAUUCAGGCCAGUACUGCCUCCCUUUUAGAUAUUUAUGGGCAGGGCUCUGAAUUGUGAGGGACUCAUGAACUCAGACACAUUUUUAAGAGAACUUUAUAGUUAAACCUCUGUUUGGCUAAGGGCUUAUUUUUAAAAAUAAUAAAUCUAGGUUCUUAGAGAAUAGAACUCAAGGGGCAGAAGUUUGAAUCUAUAAAGUUCACAUAUCAGUCAUGGAGGAGCCCUUGCAGCCAUCUAGUGUUUCUCAAACUUCUCUAUCUCAGUCCACCUAAUGGUAGAUCUGAAUAUCAUAUCUCCCCACAUGGAAAAAGAGUCAGUGCUUACACUAAAUCUCCAUAAUGUUUUUCACUGCGAUAAUUCAUUAUAACAUUGUGCUGGUUGGUUUUUGUCAACUGGACAUAAACCUAGAUAUACCAGAGGAGAGAGAAUAUAAACUGAAAAAAUUGCAUAUCUCAGAUUUACCCAGGGGUUAUCUGUAGGGUAUUGUGGACUGUGGGGGUAUAGUCUUUAUUAAUGACAGAUGUGAGAGGGCCCAGCUCACUGUGGGCAGUGCCAUCCCUGGGCAAGAAGUCAUGGCUUCUAUAAAGCAGCAGUCUGAGCAAGCCAUGAGGAGCAAUUCAGUAAGCAGCACCCCUCUAUGUCCUCUCCUUCAGUUUCUACCCUUUAUGAUGGACUACAAACUGUAAGCCAAAAUAAACCCUUUCCUUCCAC